ensembl:lncRNA
CUGACCUGGAGUCGAGUGUCCAUCACAAAGCCCUGACCUGGAGUGGAGUGUCCAUCACAAAGCCCUGACCUGGAGUGGAGUGUCCAUCACAAAGCCCUGACCUCAAUCCUAUAGAACAUUUGUGGGCAGAGCUGAAAGUGUACAAGCAAGGAGGCCUUGCAAACUUGACUCGGUUACACCAGCUCUGUCAGGAGGAAUGGGCCAAAAUUCACCCAAUUUAUUGUGGGAAGCUUGUGGAAGGCUAACCAAAAUGUUUGACCCAAGUUAAACAAUUUAAAGGCAAUGCUACCAAAUACUAAUUGAGUGUAUGUAAACUUCUGACCCACAUUCUCUCUACUAUUAUUCUGACAUUUCAUGUUCUUAAAAUAAAGUGAUUUUUACUAGGAUUAAAUGUCAGGAAUUGUGAAAAACUAAGUUUAGAUGUAUUUGGCUAAGGUGUAUGUAAACUUAGUUUUAGUAACGUACUGAGCUGAUGGAGGAAUUUAGUAACGUACUGGAGGAUGAAAGACGACACCUGGGCUGUUUUAUGCGACAUAUUUAAAUGAUUGACAUGAAAGAGGAGAGGGACACAAAUCAGAUGAAGGCUGCUGGGAAAAACUUCAAAGCGAAAGCCAAAAAUAAUGCAGCAGAUGAGAGGCGGAAGAUAUUUCAGACCACAGUCUCUCUCUCAGGACAUAUGUGAUGAUACCCGAACAGUUAACCCUAUGAUGACAACGGACAACUAGUCCCACCAAUAUUUAGUAAGCAUAAAUAACUGGUUAACAUCAAUGACUACAAUGCAUGUCAAAACUACCCAGUGGUGUAAAGUACUUAAGUUAAAAUAUAUUAAAGUACUACUUAAGUCAGUUUUUUGGGUAUCUGUACUUUACUAUUUAUAUAUUGGACAACUUUUAUUUUUACUUCACUACAUUCCUAAAGAAAAGACUUAAACAACAUUUUACUCCAUACAUUUUCUUGAAUACUUAGCAGGACAGGAACCUGGUCCAAUUCGGGCACUUAUCGAGAGAACAUCCCCUGGUCAUCCCCACUGCAUCUGAUCUGGCAGACUCACUAAACACAAAUGUUUCAUUUGUAAAUGAUGUCUGAGUGUUGGAGUGUGACACUGGCAAACUGUCAAUGUAUGUAUGUAAUAAAACCGUGCCAUCUGGAUUUCUUAAUGUAAGGAACAUUAAAUAAUUCAUACUUUUACUUUUGAUACUUAAGAACAUUUAAAACCAAAUACUUUUGACUUUUUACUCAAGUAGUAUUUUACUGGCUGACUUUUACUGGAGUUAUUUUCUAUUAAGAUAUCAUUACUUUUACAACAGUGUGAAAUGACUUUUUCCACCACUGAAACUAACGCUAAUAGUAUUUCACUAGAAUGUUACUGUUCUCAGUCCCGUUACAGCAUGUUGCAUAACGUCAUCAUUCUACCAAGGUGUAUCACAAGCUCUAAUUCAAUUACAAAAUGGGAAGGUAAGUUCUAAUAAGGAGUUGAUUCUCUUCAGUUGAGCCGACACCCUGUUGUCGUAGAGAAACAGCAAUGCCUGGAUCUUGAACUAGCCGGGCCAAUCGAACGCCCCCAGAACCCAAGACUAAAACAGCUCAUAUUGAUGUUUUGGCGCAGGAGGGAGAGAAAAAUAUUCCGCAGACUGAGAUUCUGAGUUUACAAAAAAGAGCUACUGCGAAUUCAGAAACAGAAACGCCUUCAGGGGAACAAAUGUGGAAAGAAUGCUAAUCUUGUUAUUUAUUAAAACAAUGCUUUCCCUAGCAAUGUGGUGCCCCCACUCAUGUUCUGGUGCUUCCAGUUCCCCCCUUUAUGAUCGAGAAUAACAAAUGACUUAAUAAUGCAUUUUAAUACAGAUAGUCUUAUUAAGAAUUGCACGUCAGUCAAAAUAUAAUAUUGCUUUUUACAUGUUACACUAUACACACACAUGUUAGGCUGCAAAAAUGGUUCUCAAUCAAAGUUCUCCUCAUCGCAUUCACAUCAACAGCAUGUUGCACCUGGCCAUCUUCUCCAUUCUCCUCAUCCUCCUCAGGUAGGUCCUCCUCAGCCUCCUCAGGUAGCUUGUCUCCUUGUCUCUUGCUAAAGUUAUACAGAACUUCCACUGCAAUAGUGAUUGUCAGUGUAGUGUCCAUCUUCAUGCAGAGCACCACCUGUAGGGGAGGGAAUCUUUUCUUCCAUACUACAAAAACUCUAUGAGAUCUCUUGUCAGGAUAUGAGAGGUGGUGUGUUCUCUCUCUAUGAAAUCUAUUGUCAGGAUAUGAGAGGUGGUGUGUUCUCUCUCUAUGAGAUCUCUUGUCAGGAUAUGAGAGGUGGUGCAUUCUCUCUCUAUGAGAUCUCUUGUCAGGAUAUGAGGUGGUGGAUUGUCUCUCUUCAGGUGUCUGGGGGUUUAAAAGGGGAGUCAUAAGGUUCCCAUGACAAGAAUAUCCAUUGUUACGUAGUAGGGGGCCUUCAUAUGCUCCCCGUUCCAGCAUUGCACACAGACGACUAUUGUCAAAGUAUCUGCUGUCAUGGGUGGAUCCUGGCCGUCUUGCUAGGAUGUUGGUGAGCUGACCUUUGACAUCACAGACAGCCUGCAUGUUGACGGAGCAGUAACCUUUCUGAUUACAGAAUAGUUCUCCAUUCCCACCACCAGGGUUCGGAAUAGGAAUGUGUGUCCAGUCUAUUGCCCAUAGUACACACGGGAAUCUAGCUUUCAUCUCAAAAUCCAGCUGCUGUUUCCUCUGUAGGACUGAACCUGAUGUACUCGUUCUUCAGGCCGGCAAAAGCACUGGACACUACAAUCCUGUAGACGGUUGACUUGUGGAGUCCAGAAAGGUCCACAUCCAUCCACCAUCUGGAAACAUCCAGUUACAUAGAACCGUAGAGUCAUCAGGAGCUGAAGUAGUAGGGGUACAUCCUCGUUACCGUCGUUCCCACGCUUGGUCCAACCUUUCUUUCCAGUUGCAUUACAGAUUCCUUGGAGAAGCGGCAUCUCCUUGAAAACUCAUCAUUAUAAAAAAAACUCAACAGGAUACAACCUGUCUCGUAAUGUUCUCUGAGGAACUCUGUCGUUCUGGUCUCUCCACAGUCGAUAUCCUGUCAUUUUAUCAGUUCAACCACAUCAAAUGGCAGUUCAGAAUCUCCAAUCUAAGUUUAUAUUCAAGCUUAAAAUGACUCUAGGUUUAAAGUGAAAACUAAAACUUAUGAUUAGAAGAAGGAUUCAUUUUAACUAGGAUUCAUUUAAAAAUAGAUUUAAAGUUUGGUGCAACAAGAUGAAGAUGAAACUGGGUUAAAUGAAGGCUUAAGAGUUCCUCCAUGUUGGUGCAACCCACCCUGUAUAUUGGGUUUUCCUAGAUUUAGGCAGAUCCCUGUAUUUGGCAUGACAAUGAGAGGUAGUUGCAUGACGGCACCAACAAACUGGCCCUCAGGUCAGCUGUAUUAGAGGUGAUAUCACUCAGGUCAGCUGUAUUAGAGGUGAUAUCACUCAGGUUAGCUGUAUUAGAGGUGAUAUCACUCAGGUUAGCUGUAUUAGAGGUGAUAUCACUCAGGUUAGCUGUAUUAGAGGUGAUAUCACCCAGGUUAGCUGUAUUAGAGGUGAUAUCACUCAGGUUAGCUGUAUUAGAGGUGAUAUCACUCAGGUUAGCUGUAUUAGAAGUGAUAUCACUCAGGUUAGCUGUAUUAGAGGUGAUAUCACUCAGGUUAGCUGUAUUAGAGGUGAUAUCACCCAGGUUAGCUGUAUUAGAGGUGAUAUCACUCAGGUUAGCUGUAUUAGAGGUGAUAUCACUCAGGUCAGCUGUAUUAGAGGUGAUAUCACUCAGGUCAGCUGUAUUAGAGUUGCCCAUCAAUUGCAUUAAUGCCAUCAAUACACCUCCUGUAAGCAAUUCAGGCCAUCUAUAGACCAUAACUGUAGAUUGACCAUAGGCAAGGGAGUGUCUCUCGAUCUUUGUCCAGGACAGAGUGUGUUAACCUGAAUGUCUGACAUUAAAACAUCUGGAAUGUACACACUUUAUGAUCAGUCGUGUUUGACAACGACAGACUUUGGGGUGGAAUCUGGCCAAAGCGAGAGUUUGGUAAAACAGGUCACCAAGCUUUCAGUUAAUGGAUCAACAUACUUGGCAACAGAAAGUUAAAAUUAUGAACAGGUCUAUGUCCCCAAUGGAACCCUAUUCCCUUUGUAGUGCACUACUUUAGACCAGGACCCAAUGGAAGCCUAUUCCCUUUGUAGUGCACUACUUUAGACCAGGACCAAUUUGGGACACAGGCCAGGUCUUGGCAGACUAACGACUUGGUUGGCCCCCUUUGGUCUGGCUCAACAACAGAAUACAGACAGUAACAAAUAUCUAAGUCGUGUGGUCACAAUGAAGGCCCAAAAGACCUGGGUAAAAGCUGUUCAGCCGUUUAGUCAAACCCUUCUUCCUAUUGUGAUGGUAAUGUGUUUAUAAUGAUAGUUAAGAAGUUUAGUCAGAGAGAGGGGGGAUACAGAGAGCUUCUGCAGGUAAGUCCUUCACAUCAUCAUACAUUAAAGUCUUUAAAUAGUUCAUGUGGUGUCAACACUUAACAGAAUAGAAAACAAAUAACUAACAACCAAUAAGAGUCUUGCAAUGAAUCUGCCCUCUGUUCCGACCUGUCUCCAUGGCAACACCCUGGUCAGUUAUAGUAGGUCCAAUUGUCCAUCUCCUGGCCACCCCUGGGCUGGGCUCCACACUGCAGCCCCCUCUCCUCUGGUCUCUAGCCCCAGUCCUCUCCUCCUGUCUCCAGCUCCUCUUCUGCUAGCUCCGGCCCUUCUCCUCUCCUCCUGUCUCCAGCCCCUCUCCUCUCCUCCUGUCUCCAGCCACUCUCCUCUCCUCCUGUCUCCAGCCCCUCUCCUCUCCUCCUGUCUCCAGCCCUCUCCUCUCCUCCUGUCUCCAGCCACUCUCCUCUCCUCCUGUCUCCAGCCACUCUCCUCUCCUCCUGUCUCCAGCCACUCUCCUCUCCUCCUGUCUCCAGCCCCUCUCCUCUCCUCCUGUCUCCAGCCCCUCUCCUCUCCUCCUGUCUCCAGCCCCUCUCCUCUCCUCCUGUCUCCAGCCCC